GGUAAGGGUGAGUGAGAGUGUGUUGAUAAGGGUGGGUGAGAGUGUGUUGGUAAGGGUGUGUGAGAGUGUGUUGGUAAGGGUGAGUGAGAGUGUGUUGGUAAGGGUGUGUGAGAGGGAGUUGGAAAGGAUCUACGCAAGAUUUCAUGUCACUUCCCUCAGAGAUCUGAAGUGACCUCCUUUUAAAAAAGUCUUUUAAGUCUUAAAGAUUUUAAUAACAAUUCAUCUGUUGAUACUACCACUUUGUUUUAUUUUUGAUUGAUAAAUGAGCGGAAGCAUACAUGGAGCACAAGUGGACAAAAUACAUUCAUACAAACAUUCAGUGACAAAUGUUAUAAUUUUAAUUAUAUGCAGUAUACAAGUUACCUGCUCAGAAACAGGUACACUCUAUAGUACAAGUUAGUUUAAAAACAAUUAGGCUAGAGGAAGGCAUAGUUGCUGUAGCACAAGUUGGAAAACCUGUGUCAUUUUAUGUGUUUAAUGUCCAGGACAAUAUGUACUGUAUAUGUCCUGGACAGUACUGUAAGGUCGAGGACAAUAUGUACUGUAUAUGUCCUGGACAGUAUUGUAAGGUCGAGGACAAUAUGUACUGUAUAUGUCCUGGACAGUAUUGUAAGGUCCAGGACAAUAUGUACUGUAUAUAUGUACUGGACAGUACUGUAUGGUGUAGGACAAUAUGUACUGGACAGUACUGUAAGGUGUAGGACAAUAUGUACCGUAUAUCGUUACUGAACUUGGGAAACAACUCUUUUUAACUAUAAUUUGUAUUAAGCAAUAAAUGUUAUUGAGAAAUAUGGUAAUUUAAGUAAAUAUAUUCUAAAGUUUCUUUAUAUAUGUCAAUAUACAUCAAGAAGAACACAAACGUGGCCAGAAGGAAGACGAGAGCCACGAUUGUAUAUGUUUAAUGAAUCUUUAUAUGUUGUGAUUUGUAGAUCUUGUUAGUGACAUUGUUUGUGAAUCUUGUUAAUGCUUUUAUUUGUGAAUCUUGUUAAUACUUCUGUUUGUGACUCUUGUUAGUGACAUAAUUUGUGAAUAUUUGUAGUGCCUUUGUUUGUUAAUCUUGUUAUUACUUGUGUUUGUGAAUCUUGUUAGUGACAUUUUUUGUGACUAUUUUUUGUGCCAUUGUUUGUGAAUCCUGUUAAUGCUUCUGUUUUGAAUCUUGUUAGUGGCAUUGUUUGUGAAUCUUGUUAGUGACAUUUUUUGUGACUAUUUUUUGUGCCAUUGUUUGUGAAUCCUGUUAAUGCUUCUGUUUUGAAUCUUGUUAGUGGCAUUGUUUGUGAAUCUUGUUAGUGACAUUGUUUGUGAAUCUUGUUAUUGUAUUUGUUUGUGAAUCUUGUUAGUGCUUUUAUUUGUGAAUCUUGUCAAUGCUUUUGUUUGUGAAUCUUGUUAAUGCUUUUGUUUGUGAAUCUGUUAGUGUCACUGUUGUGAAUCUUGUUAAUGUUUCUAUUUGUGAACCUUGUUAGUGACAAUGUGAAUCUAGUUAGUAAAACUAUUUGUGAAUCUUGUUAAUGCUUCUAUUUGUGAAUCUUGUAAUGACAUUGUUUAUAAAUCUUAUUAAUGUUAGUGUUUGCAAUCUUUUGGCAGUAUUAUAUUUAAAAUUUUUGUUAAUGCUAGUGUUUGCAAUUUUUUGGCAGUAUUAUAUUUUACAAUUCUUCUCAACAUUAUAUUGUGUGAAUCUUGACACAAUAUAUGACUAUUGAGAACAUUAUGAAUGCAUCUUGACAGUGCUGUGCUGGAGGCUGAUGCUAUGCAGCAUAAUAUAUAGUAGAAUACUUAGCAAUAAAUUUCGAUGCAUAUUAAUUUUAUUUUAUGAAAACCACUCGAUAAUUUGGACACAAAAUGUAUAGCAUAAAAUUAUUAAAAAAUUUCCAUGCUAACUCGUAUGAUUGGUAGCAAGCAGCGGGAUGAUCCCCAGAAGCACUGUUUACUAAGCUGCAGAAGAACUGUGGGAGGGAGAGAGGUAAUAGCUUGCACAGAUGUUUCAGAGCAUGUUAUGAUUCUGUACCAUGUAAAAUAUAUUAUAUUAUACAUUAAUAAAAUGUUAAAGAGAUAUGUUAAUUCGAACCUAACUAUUAAAUUUAGACAACUCUGACCACUGAUCUUUAUUCAGUAUAUACACAACUACCUGUCAUAAAAUAUUUUUUGGAAAUAACUAUUUUUUUUUUAAUUUGUGUGAAAGUAGUGUACCUGAUAAUUUUUCGGGCCAGAGACACAUAAUAUGUAUAAUGUCUUAAAAUUGACCUUCCUAAUAUGUUUAUUAUGUAAAAAUAAAAUAAAAAAAUUAUCCAGAAGAA
rnacentral:lncRNA from 1 species